rnacentral:tRNA from 2 species
GUGGAGCUGUUUGGUAGCUCACAAAGCUCAUAACCUUGAGGUUACAGGUUCGAU